rnacentral:lncRNA from 1 species
ACCUGACAAUGACAUACAUCAAGAUUCUUCAGGUUCUAUGAACUACAAUGGGUCUCUGCUUUAGUGGAAGCACCUUUCUUUUAAGCCUUAUUGCCCCUAUUGUAGAUGUCUUCUCAGUUACCAAAGAGAGGGAUAGCCACAACGAUCACAGUCUUCUUGUAUGGCUUCAAGUGACAGAAUGCUGCAGUCUCUGAAGAAUUAAAAUUGUGUGUCAUCUAAAGGGCAGUGAAGAAGUGCAUGGUGGACACAAACUGUCUAUAAUACAUUGUAAAAAAAGGAAUUAUGCAGAAGAAGCAGUGUGAUGAAUGUCAUCAAAGAAAUGGAUGAUUGAAAAAGAAGUUGGGCCAGUCUCAUGGGGAGAGUGAGAGAUGACUGACUGAUGGAUAGCUCUUGUGCUCCAUAAAAGUCUUUCUCCCUCUGUAUGCAGGGUCCAGUGCCAAAGCUGAGGAAGGUGACUGAUCCCAAUUUGUUAUGCAGUUGUCAUUCAUUGCUUAAUUAAUAAAAAUGCUCAGAUGCUCGAACUUU